rnacentral:lncRNA from 1 species
GCCCUUCUUAAUUUCAUGAAGGGGAAGUUGAUUGUCAGGGAUAGAGGAAACUAAGGAUGACGUGGGGAUGUGGAUGUCUCAGUGUAUGCCAGCCUUGUUAUAUGAUGAGGACCACUGCAGCAGACACUGCUGGUGCCCCAACUAUUUUCCCUUUCUGCAUUCGACAUUCCCACAGACGGCAGCUGAAGGAGUCCAAAGCAGUCACUUGCUCAUUAGAGCUCCCUGUACUGGCUUCCUGCCCUUCUGUGUUCCACGUGCCCCAGCUCCUUGCUGGAGCUUCCUGGGGUCGCCUCUGAAAUAGACUGCUUGCCCUCCAUCUCACUCUUAAGAGUCUGAUCAAACAGCUCCUCUCAACUACUGCUGUGGCACUGGGAGGUCCUCAGAAACGAAAGCCCUGAGGAUGCCUUGAAUUGACUACGGAUAACUUUCUGGAAGCUAUCAGAACAGUGGCUCAAAAUAAAACUUAAGCUUCGUUACAAGAGAAUAAAGCUACAUUUCUC